ACCUGGUUGGCUCAGUCAGUAGAGCAUGUGACUCUUAAUCUUAGGGUUGUGUGUUCAAGCCCCACAUUGGAUA
rnacentral:tRNA from 1 species